rnacentral:rRNA from 1 species
AGACAGCAGUAGCCGCGGUAACACGAAGGGUGCAAGCGUUAAUCGGAAUUACUGGGCGUAAAACGUGCGUAGGCGGUUUGUUAAGUCUGCUGUGAAAUCCCCGGGCUCAACCUGGGAAUGGCAGUGGAUACUGGCAAGCUAGAGUGUGUCAGAGGAUGGUGGAAUUCCCGGUGUAGCGGUGAAAUGCGUAGAGAUCGGGAGGAACAUCAGUGGCGAAGGCGGCCAUCUGGGACAACACUGACGCUGAGGCACGAAAGCGUGGGGAGCAAACAGGAUUAGAUACCCCAGUAGUCCCUGUCUCUUAUAC